UACGUAGGGUGCGAGCGUUACUCGGAAUUACUGGGCGUAAAGCGUGCGCAGGCGGUUCGUUGUGUCGGUGGUGAAAGCCCCGGGCUUAACCUGGGAAUGGCCAUGGAAACUGGCGAACUGGAGUGUGGCAGAGGGGGGUGGAAUUCCGCGUGUAGCAGUGAAAUGCGUAGAGAUGCGGAGGAACACCGAUGGCGAAGGCAGCCCCCUGGGUCAACACUGACGCUCAUGCACGAAAGCGUGGGGAGCAAACAGG
rnacentral:rRNA from 1 species